UAGCAUGGAGUCAGACAAGUGC
rnacentral:rRNA from 1 species